rnacentral:rRNA from 1 species
UACGUAGGGUGCGAGCGUCAAUCGGAAUUACUGGGCGUAAAGCGUGCGCAGGCGGUCUGUUAAGACCGAUGUGAAAUCCCCGGGCUUAACCUGGGAACUGCAUUGGUGACUGGCAGGCUUUGAGUGUGGCAGAGGGAGGUAGAAUUCCACGUGUAGCAGUGAAAUGCGUAGAGAUGUGGAGGAAUACCGAUGGCGAAGGCAGCCUCCUGGGCCAACACUGACGCUCAUGCACGAAAGCGUGGGGAGCAAACAGG